GUGAGGAAUAUUGCGCAAUGGAGGCAACUCUGACGCAGCCAUGCCGCGUGCAGGAAGAAGGCGCUACGCGUUGUAAACUGCUUUUAACCGGGAAGAAACCCCAGGACGUGUCCUGGGUUGACGGUACCGGAGGAAUAAGCACCGGCUAACUUCGUGCCAGCAGCCGCGGUAAUACGAAGGGUGCAAGCGUUAUCCGGAUUCAUUGGGUUUAAAGGGUGCGUAGGCGGAGCGUUAAGUCAGUGGUGAAAUCCUGCAGCUUAACUGUAGACUUGCAAUUGAUACUGGCGCUCUUGAGUACGCGUGAAGUGGGCGGAAUGUGCCGUGUAGCGGUGAAAUGCUUAGAGAUGGCACAGAACACCAAUUGCGAAGGCAGCUCACUAAGGCGAUACUGACGCUGAGGCACGAAAGCGUGGGGAUCGAACAGGAUUAGAAACCCGUGUAGUCC
rnacentral:rRNA from 1 species